rnacentral:tRNA from 1 species
CAGCCUAUCGGUUAUUGGUUAGAGCACUGUGUUGAUAACGCAGGGGUCGUAGGUUCGAGUCCUACCAGACUGG